AUGGAUCCCCACCCCACCCCCUUCCGAGCGAAGCGGAAGUCGGUCGCUGCGCCGGCAAAGACGCCAGCGCCGAAGCCCAAGUCCGUCGCCAACGGCACCGCGCGCGGGAGAAUGACCACCUCCGCCACCACCAGCGCCGUCUCCGCGGGGGCCGCUCCCCAGCCACGGCCACGGCGCGCGUUCGGCACCGUCCGGAGCAGCAACUCCCUGGCCGAGAAGCCGGCCCCGCCGCCGCCGCAGAAGCAUUCAAAGCUGUCGCCCCCGCCUCCGCAAAAGCCUCUGAAGGUGUCGCCGCCGAAGCUGCAGAAGCCUGCGGCAAAGGUAUCGCCUCCGCCUCCGCAGAAGCCUGCUAAGGUUUCGCCGCCACCUCAGCAAAAGCUUUCGAGGCUGUCCCCGCCGGUUCCGGCCAAGGCGGCCAGGCCUUCUCGUCCCGCAGAAAAGCCACUGAAGAAAGCUUGCCCAGCCCCCCCGGAUCUGGCGGCCAAGGCCAAGAAAAAGAGCCAGAGGGUGAGCUUCCAGGAUGACGUGGCAGCGCUGGCUCCCUCCGGAAGCGGGGAGAAGGUCAAAGCAUCCACCGAAGACUCUGCUGGGCGCACGCCUAUGGUGCCUGUCAAACCCCUGGAGAAGAAGCCGGCGAAGGUUGUGGCCGCAGAGACCCCGUUCUUCAGCGCUCAGAAUUGCAGCAGCUGCACGCUUGAUCAGCUCGAGUCCGCCUCCUACUGGCUGGCACAGAUCCAUCUGGCCGAGUCUGUUGGCAAGCACAAUGUCUCUGCCGCAUUCUUCCGCCUUGCAUUUGAAUGCCAAGCUCAGCCAUUUCACAGGAUCCGAAGUGAGCUCAGGAACUAUGUGGCGCGCCAUGAGAGUGCUAGCACUUUGACCCCUUUAUUCCAUGAGCUCCUGGUUGCCCAUGCCAUGGCAGUGAACCAACUGAAGUUUGACACUGAUGGGUCUGAAAAGGUGGAUACACCUGCAACUACAAAUACAGUUGACCAAAAGCUUGAUGCUACCACACUGGUGCAUGAAUGCUCUGAACGUGAUUGUGGUGGUGAUCUUGUUGAUGUGGGGGAAGUCAGUGUUAUCAAACAAGGAGAGGAAGAGAUGGACCAACCGAGCUUUGAGCAGAAACUGGAUGAAAGUUUUGCAUUUGAUGAUUGUGAGGCUGUCAUCGUGGACCGGCUAGCUGAAGAACAUUCUGAAUUCGAAAAGAUUAUCGGUGUCAAAGGUCCUUGUGACAGUGAAAUAGUCCAGUCAGCAUGUCGCUCUUCCAUCGACAGGCUGAGCUUGAGAGGAUCCCCUCUAGCAAGGGGAGCAUCUGAAAGACGCCUCUCGUCAGAGAGCCAUUUAGAUAAAUUGUCUCCGUCUGCUGCAGGGAGCUUGUCUGCAAAGCGCUUAUCAUCAUCUGGUAGCCCUUUCAACAACUCUCCGUUCUGCAGGGGCUCGUUACAGAGGCUCACAUCCAGUUGCCCUUCUUCUAAGAAGUCCUCCGCUAAAGGCGGCCUGUCUGCAAAGCGGAUGUCAUCUGGUGGCCGCUCUGAUGAGGAGCAUAAUAAUGGUACUGCUGGAGCUGGUGAUUCUAGCAGAGUGAUUCAAGAAGGGGAAUCUGGUUGCCACAUUUUAGUUGAACCGAUGAAAUUGAAAGAGCAUGGGGAGUAUGAUGAUGAUGCCAUUGAUGAGACCCAGUAG
rnacentral:rRNA from 1 species